CAAUAGCGUAUAUUAAAGUUGUUGCGGUAAAAAAGCUCGUAGUUGGAUUUCUGUUGAGGACGACCGGUCCACUCCAUGAGUGCGCAUCUGGUUCGGCCUCGGCAUCCUCUCGAUAGACGUUACUGCGCUUGAUUGCGUGGUGCGGAUUUCGGGACUUUUACUUUGAGGAAAUUAGAGUGUUCACGGCAGGCUUUCGCCCGAAUAUAUUAGCAUGGAAUAAUACUAUAGGAUCUUGGUCCUAUUUUGUUGGUUUCUAGGAUUGAGAUAAUGAUUAAUAGGGACAAUUGGGGGUCGAUUUGUUACUGACAAGUCAGAGGUGGAAUUACUUGGAUUUUGUUCAUGACAAACUAACUGCGAAAG
rnacentral:rRNA from 1 species